GGGCACUUGGCGCAGUGGUAGCGCGCUCGCUUUGCAUGCGAAAGGCCAUGGGUUCAAACCCCAUAGUGUCCA